rnacentral:rRNA from 1 species
CUACUCUGUGCGGUGGAUCACUCGGCUCGUGUGUCGAUGAAGAGCGCAGCUAGCUGCGAGAAGUUAAUGUGAAUUGCAGGACCACAUUGAAACAUCGACCUCUUGAACGCACAUGGCGGCCUCUGGGUCACUCCAGAGGCCACGUCUGUCUGAGGGUCGGC